UACGAAGGGGGCUAGCGUUGCUCGGAAUCACUGGGCAUAAAGGGCGCGUAGGCGGCUUUUCAAGUCAGGGGUGAAAUCCGGCAGCUCAACUGUCGAAGUGCCUUUGAUACUGAUGAGCUCGAGGGAGGUAGGGGUCUGUGGAACUUCCGGUGGAGCGGUGAAAUGCGUUGAUAUCGGAAGGAACGCCGGUGGCGAAAGCGACGGACUGGACCUCUUCUGACGCUGAGGCGCGAAAGCCAGGGGAGCAAACGGG
rnacentral:rRNA from 1 species